rnacentral:lncRNA from 1 species
UAUUCCUCCAUUCACUACACAGUACUACCAUACAUACAUACAUAUGUAUGUACAUAUAUACAUACAUAAACUCUACCCUAAUAACCACUCAGUCGUUUACAAGGGAACAUAACCCCUAGGAUGAGCAACUCUUUAAUUAUCAUCAGCAGAAUACCGAAAGUUACGAGCUACUAAUCCUAGAGGUCAGUCCUUUUGGUCUUAGAUGCCAUCAAUCAUGACUACUACGUCACCCUCCAUUAAAUUUCCUACAUUCAUUUUCCAUUUAGAUAUUAAUUGUAAAUUUAAUACAUAUUCCUUCAUCCAUAAAUUUCUAAAAUAUUUUAGUAAAAUAUUUAGUUUCUUCCUGUGUUAUAAUGGUGACCCAUUAUUUUCAAUAUGGCUUUUGGUAAUUUAACCAUCACUUGUGCUUGAAGUCUUUGUGAAGAUCUUUUACAUCGAAUACAAUUUCUGAAACACGAAGAAACCAAUCUUUUAUAUCUGAUGCUCUAAAUUUAUUAAUUUAUUAUUUGAUGAAAACAUUUUUAAUUUUUGAAAUAAAUUUCCCAAAUAUUUAA